rnacentral:rRNA from 1 species
CUACGGGAGGCUGCAGUGAGGAAUUUUGCGCAAUGGGGGCAACCCUGACGCAGCAACGCCGCGUGAGUGAUGAAGGCUUUCGGGUCGUAAAGCUCUGUCAAGUGGGAAGAACCGGUCGGGUGCUAAUAUCGUCCGACCCUGACGGUACCACUGAAGGAAGCACCGGCUAGCUCCGUGCCAGCAGCCGCGGUAAUACGGGGGGGUGCAAGCGUUAUUCGGAAUUAUUGGGCGUAAAGGGCGCGUAGGCGGUUCUUUAAGUCAGAUGUGAAAUCCCGGGGCUCAACCCCGGAAGUGCAUUUGAAACUAAAGGACUUGAGUAUGGGAGAGGGAAGUGGAAUUCCUGGUGUAGAGGUGAAAUUCGUAGAUAUCAGGAGGAACACCUGUGGCGAAGGCGGCUUCCUGGACCAAUACUGACGCUGAGGCGCGAAGGCGCGGGGAGCAAACAGGAUUAGAUACCCCUGUAGUC